UGACAUAUUUAGAAUGUACUUUUAAUUUCC
rnacentral:piRNA from 1 species